rnacentral:misc_RNA from 1 species
CGCACAUUGCGCCCUUUGGUAUUCCUUAGGGCAUGCCUGUUCGAGCGUCAUUUCAAACUUCAAGCCCCCUCUUUUGGCUUGGUGUUGGGCGUCUGUCCCCCCUGGGGGACUCGCCUCAAAUGCAUUGGCAGCCGGUACGUUGGCUUCGAGCGCAGCAGAAACGCGCGCGGCGUCUGACGGUGCCUGGCUCUCCAGGAAGCCUCCACCCAAGUUUGACCUCGGAUCAGGUAGGGAUACCCGCUGAACUUAA